rnacentral:rRNA from 1 species
CGGUAAUUCCAGCUCCAAUAGUGUAUAUUAAAGUUUCUGUGAUUAAAACGCUCGUAGUUGAAUUAAAAUGUGAUUUUAUACAUUUUGAAGACUUUGCAUAAGUAAAGUUUCUAGAAAUGUUAAAUUAAAAUCAAAGAAGGAAACAAUUCAAGUAAUUGAGUUGUUAUUACUUUCAAUAAAAUAAGGUGUUUAAAGCAAAACAUUAUGUUAAUGAAUAUUCAAGCAUGGGACAAUGCUGAGGGGAUGUCAAUAAGACAUUUCGAGAGAAGGAUUAAAAGGAACAAUUGGGGUGAUUCAGAAAAUAACGGGAGAGGUG